rnacentral:lncRNA from 1 species
AGCUCUUUAUGUGUUUUGGAUAUAAACCUCUUAUCAGAUACAUGAUUUCAAAUAUUAUCUUCCAUUCUAUAAGUUGCCUUUUCACCCUUGAUUGUGUCUUUUGGUGCAGAAAAGAUUGUAUCUUUUAUUUUUUUUAAGAUUUUUAAAUUAAUUAUUUAAUUAAUUUAUGAGAGACACACAGAGAGAGGAGAGACAUAGGCAGAGGGAGAAGCAGGUUCCAUGCAGGGAGCCCGAUGCGGGACCCAAUCCCAGAACUCUGGGAUCACGACCUGAGCCAAAGGCAGAUAUUCAACCGCUGAGCCACCCAGGCAUCCCAAAGACUGUGUCUUUUAAUAAAUUUGACAUAGUCCCAGAUAAGCUCUAAAUUUUAUCCUGAGGUCUACAUAUAUUUAACAGUUAUAUGUUCAACAAAAUAUCUGAUAUCCAUAUGAAGUAAACUGAUUUGGGGGGCUGUGGAACAUUCUGAUUUCCAUGGGCUCAGAAGUACAUCUGCUGACCGACUUGCAUUUGUUAUCAUACACUCCUUUCUCCUCGAAGAGAGACAAGGGAUGAACUGUCCAUACUUACCCAUAAAGCAAACCCACCAGCUAUAUGCUGACAGCUCAACAGCUUCCUUCCUGCAAUUCUCUCCCCUCUCUUCCCAACCACCAAUUUUCCCUUUGCUAUUAAAUCUUUCCCAUUAAUAUAAAAAUAUGCUUCAAUAUCUCUUAACCUAAAAAGAACCCUCCCAGGCAUGACCACAGAUCACUAUCCAGUUUCGGCCCUACUUUCUCUGCUUUUUAUGGCAGGAUUAUUAAAAAAUGCUGUGUCUACUCUUUGGCCUCCCUCUUAUUGCUGAAUUCUCCAUCAUCACACUGAUCAUAAAGCACCUAGACCAUAAUGCUGGACCCAGUAAAUGGCAUAGUCAGCUUAGCUACUUUCAGGAAAAAAAACAAAAACAAAAAACAAAAAAGCCUUGCCACUGUUGUCCCUCUUUCAUGCAACAAAGUGGUAAAAUGCUUUUGUUUCACCAACAACCCAGUGACAUCGGAGGGCCAUUCACUUUCCACCAACCCCAAGUCACUGCUUUGACUGCAGACUAUGACGCUUCUGCUGCCCACAGCCUUUGCCAGACACUUGGAACUUUUAUUUUCAGAUCUGUCCUGGGGAACAAGUGGGAUUUGUAGGUGACGUGGUAUCCCUGGAAACCUAAUUCUGUGGCACUCAUACUUCUACUGCUCUUGUUGUCCAAUUUGCUUUGUUCACAAACACCCUUAUUUCUGCAACUGAGAUUCCCUGUCCAGUGUAAGAUCAAGUCCAUGUUGCACGCCAAUCUGAAAUUUCUCGUCUCUGGCUUGGGCCUGCUGCCAUGGUGAAUGAAGCCAGUGAAUGAAGGUGGAGCGCAGGGGUAUCUUUUUUUGGACCUCCGCCCUUACUCCCAGGUCCACCUUGCUUCAAACCUUCCAGCGCUGGAGUGGUUGGAGAGACAGCCAGCAAGGUGAUGUCAGGGAGCUAGAAAAGUCCCUUUUUGACUAGAAGUGGUGUGAGUGAUCGCUGGGCAUGCUGGGAACUAAAGGCUGCUUCUCUAUUUCAUGGGCCAUUUGGUGGCCUCUGUGGAACACUUUCAUUGGUUCCUUGUAGUCCCUCAUUGCCGCAGACUCUGGGAGUACACUGUCCCGCUGGCAGCUGACAAGGACUCUCAGCAGCUGGUCACCAGCGCUACGCCUCCCACAUUUUCAUCUGCCAUCUUGUCAGGCAUCUAGAUGGGGCCAUAUUUAGCAGCUAGGCCAACAGCAUCUAUCUUGUGUGGCCCACAUCUGGUCCAAGGAAAACACCUCUGAUCCAUCCUCAGGGAGAGUGCCAGUACUUCCCAAACAAUACCUAUAUCCCCUGCUCUGUUUCUAUCAAUCUUUGUAUUUUCCAGGUGUAGGGUUGACCCCAGACUGCUGUGCCCUCUAAACUACAAGGGCCACAGAUCAAGCUUUCUGUGUGGUCCCCCUUAAAGCUCUGCCACUUGACUUGAGGAUGGGAGAAACAUCUUCCUCUCUUUUCCCAAGAUGGUGUGUGUGUGUGUGUGUGUGUGUGUGUGUGAGAGAGAGAGAGAGAGAGAGAGAGAGAGAAGGAGGAAGGAGGAAGAAGGAGGAGGAGGAGGAGGAGGAGGAGGAGGAGGGGGUUGGAGGAGGGAGAACAGGGUAAGGUGACAUCCACAGUGUGCCACAAAAUUCUCUCUAAAUAAAUCCUCACCCCAGCAUCCCAGUUCUUCAACAUGGUUUGGCCUAAGGGUCACAAAACCAGAUUUCAUAUUAUUCAGGCUUAAAAAAGAAGGAAAUGCUGACACAUGCUUUAACACAGAGGACCCUUGUAGACAUGCUAUGUGAAACAGCCAGGCAGAAAGGGACAAGUAUUAUCUGACCCACUUAUCUGAGGUCCCCAGAGUAGUCAAGUCCAGAGGGACAGUGGAAUGGUGGCUGCCAGGGGGUGGGGGCUUACUGUUUCAUGGGCACAGAGUUUCAACUCAGGAGGAUUAAAAGGAUUCCAGAGAUCGGCUGCACAACAAUGCAAACGUACUGAAUGCCACUGAGCUGUACACUUACAAAGGUUAGCAAAUUUUAUGUUAUGUAUAUUGUAGUACAGUUCUUAAAAACAACAGGUUUCCACCACUUCUGCGGUUCUGCUUGGGUAAUCUAGCAAGGAAUUUCAUAGCAUGAGCCUAACUGCAGCCCUUGGGACCAGGACCGUGGUUAAGUGAGGGUCCCUCCACAGCCUUCUCCACCUUGCUCUGUGUCCUGAAGUGGGGGCUCUGCAAACAGCAUGUCUACUUUGUCAAGGGGCUCUGCAGACUGGGCACAUCAAAUGGAGCCUGGCAGGCAGAGGAGGGAGAGGGGAGCAGCUCCUUCUGGUGGCUUCCUGUUCCUGCUGGAGUUACCCGGCAACAGCCCUUUACCCUGACAGCAGCAUUUGUCUCUGGUGGCAGUCGGCUAGGGCUCAGAUUUUUCCCACUCUCCCAAAGCUAGCCCUUUGUGCACCCUGAGGAGAUACCACAGCAGCUGAGCAGCACUCCUGCCAACAGAUCUGUACCCCAUCUCUCCAGGGGCCUACCCCGGUAUCAGCACUAGCUGACAGGGGGCCCCCUUCUCAGAGGUCUUGAUCCUGACUCCACGGGCCCCCUCUGAGCUCCCAAGGUCUGGUCCCAGCUCCAGGGCCCUCCUCCAAGCUGCCAGGUUCUGAUAAGCCCAUAUCCCUCUUCUAGUUCCCCCAACACACAGUGGCAAUGGCAGUUGCUUUUGCUGUCAGACCCUAUUUGUCCCACUUCGCAUUUAAAGCUCUCUAACCUCGGUUUAACCAGUCCCUUCUAUCAGAUUUCCUGUACAAACCUAACUAGUGUAGUUUCCGUUUUUCGGACCUGACCCAGGAGUGGUAUUACUGUAUUUUUGCACUUGUGUGCAAAAAGUGAAAACAAGCAAAGUUCAUUUCCACAUCCUGCUACCGUUGUUUAUGGCCGGCCUCACCCAUGUAGUUGGUAAACACCACAGAAUCAGGAGUUUUGGGUCCACUGACAUAGACACAUGGCACUUUGAACACAACCAGGCAGAAGGCAGGUGCCUGUCAUCUUCAUUGGAUAAAUAGGAAAUAUUUAAUGCAAAGAUAAAACACAAAAUAAAAUAACCUCGGUCAUGCAAAUAGGCUUAUAAUAGAUAAACAUUAUAACCACAUGCAAGUAUAUUCAGGGGAAAAUAAAUAGUGGAUCUCUACUCUGAAAUUCUUAACAAUAUCUUUUUUCUGCCUUUUUCCCUCCUCAUUGUCUUAUUAAGCAAUUUUGUAAGUGGGGGUUUCUCCAAUUUUUUUCUUGUACGUUAGGACCUGUUAUCCAUGAGAUAGAUAGUCAUUAUUUAUUUGGUCUUCAACCACUGUUCCUGGCACAUAGCUCCUAAAACCUUUGAACUUUACUCUAAAGAGUCCUAGGGAUAUCUUUUGUUAUAAUAGGUUUUUUCCAAGCAAUUCCUAAAAUAGCUCCAGAGCUGAAAGGUGAAAUGAGUAUCUUCUGUUAUUAUUCAAUACCAAGCCCCUUUCACCCACAUCUGAGUUUAUGUUAAUGAGGUGACCUUUGGAAAGCCCCUAAGGAUGGGCCAGUUGUCAGGGGAGAAGAGGGUAGGACCUAAGGCCCAUCCCCCAGACAGACCUCCAGAGCAGUGAGAGGGAAGUUCAAACAUCAGUGGCCAAUGAUUUAAUCAACUGUGCUUCCAUAAAAACCCCAAGGGUGAGGUUUAGAGAGCUUCUGUGCUGGUGGACAAGAAAUGCAUUCAUGUUAGGAGGGUGGCAUACCUCAAACUCUAAGGGGACAGAAGCUCGGGGCCUUAGCGAGAUCCGGGCCUUGCCCUAUGUACCUCAUCCGUCUGGCUGUUCCUGAGUUCUAUCUUUUAAAAAUAAACUGAGACUCCAGUAGGUAAAGUGUUUUCCUGAGUUUUGUUAGCUGCUCUAGCAAAUCAACCUAAUCCAAGGAGGGGGCUGUGGGAACAGCUGAUGUAUAGCCAGUCAGCAGCGCAGGUGACAAGCUGGCCUCGUACCUGGCGUCCGAUGUGGGGGAGAGGCAGCAGUCUUAUGGGACAGAACCCUUCACCUGUGGCAUCUGAGGCUACCUCCAGGUAGAUGGUGCUGCAAGCGAGUGAAAUUGUAGGGCGCCCGGCUACUGGCACUGAAUCACAUGGUGUGCAAGAAUCUCCACAUGUCUGGUGAGCAGAAAUGAAGCAGUGAGGCAGUCGUGUACUGAGAGUAGAGAGUACAGCAGUGCGUUUUGCCUUUACAUUCAGUCAGUCAGUAAAAUAGCUUGAAAACUGAGGCUUGAAUGCAUGAAACCUCACUAAUAAAACUUCAGAAGAAGAACUCAGAACAUUCUGGUGUGACGAAAAAUGCUAGAGUGUAUUGGGAGAACCAAGCCCAGGCCUGGGUCUGUCAGUGGCGCAUUACCUUGUGCAAGUCACUCAGCUUCUCCAGGUCUCUGUUACUUCCUCUUAGAUGUAAAGUGCCCUUCCUCUUUUAAGACUCUUAUGUUCACAUGGAAAUGUGCUUUAAUGUCCCCAAAGUACAACAUAACUUUCAAGCAUUGGCAGCCUGUGCCAGACUUGAAUUUCUUCUUAUGCCAAUCCUCAAACACAUUUCCCCACUGGACAAGUGUAUAGUGGCUGACAGUGGGCAAUCUAAUAAAAAACUUUGGUGCCAAGUCCUAUUCCACGUUCCAAAUGAGGUUAUAGUUUCCUGUAGCAAAUACUUUCUAAACUCGGCUGGAUUUUUUUAAGAUCCCAAUCUGUGGAAUAGCGUUAAUAUUGACAGCUGUGGUAAACGUCUAACACACUGAAGUAUAUUGCAAAGCUCAAAAAGGACUAGGUGAGAGCAACCAACUCUUCUAUUUCAAUGAUGUGUAAGGCUGGGUAAGGCAGCGGGCAGGAUGUGAGCAGUGGAGCUCACGCUCACGGGGAAGGAGCCCUGCACCCAAGGCAGAGCCAUCAGUGUGCUUUGGGAAAGUGUAUAGUACUAGGUGGAGUGAGCUACUGUCAACCUGCUCUCUUUACUGUCUUGUGUGAUAGAGAAUACAGUACAAUAUAAAAAUCAAUCAGAUGCUACUUUAGAAAUAAAAAGUGAAGACAGAUUACAAACAGGAUUACAUAAAAAAUAGAUCUCAGAGCAUAAAAUUCAAGGACAGUGAAAGAACAGACAAGUCUGCUUACUAAUAACAGAUGUCUGCAAACAUUAACAGUAAAUUUUUUUGUUGUUUUCAUACAAUUCUAUUCACAGAAGUAAAAUAUAGUGUCUAUAUAUAUAUAGACACACAUAUACAUACAGACACACACAUAUAUAUGUAUACACACACACAAAGUAUAUAUAGGUAAGAAAAUGGAAAACCAAGUACUACUGGAAUUAUCACCAGGAAAGAACUAAUGGUAAGGGAUUCUUAGUAUCAAU